rnacentral:rRNA from 11 species
UUUAUCAGGUAAAGCGAAUGAUUAGAGGCCUCGGGGGUGUAACAUCCUCGACCUAUUCUCAAACUUUAAAUAGGUAAGAGGUCCUUGCCUCUUGGUUGGGCAUGGGCAUGGAAUUGGAGCUCCAAGUGGGCCAUUUUUGGUAAGCAGAACUGGCGAUGCGGGAUGAACCGAGAGUGGUGUUAAGGCGCCCAACUACGCGCUCAUUAGAUCCCAGGAAAGGUGUAGGUGCGUAUGGACAGCAGGACGGUGGUCAUGGAGGUCGACAUCCGCUAAGGAGUGUGUAACAACUCACCUGCCGAACGCAUCAGCCCUGAAAAUGGAUGGCGCUCAAGCGCGUGGCCGAUACACCACCGCCGGCGUACAGAAUUUGCUCCGGUGUGUAGGAGGGCGUCGUGCCUUUGCGUCGAAGCCUUUGGCGUGAGCCUUGGUGGAGCAGGCUCGAGUGCAGAUCUUGGUGGUAGUAGCAAAUAUUCAAAUGAGAACUUUGAAGGCCGAAG